rnacentral:rRNA from 1 species
AUUGAACGCUGGCGGCAUGCCUUACACAUGCAAGUCGAACGGUAACGGGCCUUCGGGUGCCGACGAGUGGCGAACGGGUGAGUAAUGUAUCGGAACGUACCUUUCAGUGGGGGAUAACGUAGCGAAAGUUACGCUAAUACCGCAUAUUCUGUGCGCAGGAAAGCAGGGGAUCGCAAGACCUUGCGCUGAUUGAGCGGCCGAUAUCAGAUUAGCUAGUUGGUGAGGUAAAGGCUCACCAAGGCGACGAUCUGUAGCGGGUCUGAGAGGAUGAUCCGCCACACUGGAACUGAGACACGGUCCAGACUCCUACGGGAGGCAGCAGUGGGGAAUUUUGGACAAUGGGGGCAACCCUGAUCCAGCCAUGCCGCGUGAGUGAAGAAGGCCUUCGGGUUGUAAAGCUCUUCGGCCGGAAGAAAUCGUAUCAGCUAAUACCUGGUGCGGAUGACGGUACCGGCAUAAGAAGCACCGGCUAACUACGUGCCAGCAGCC